AGGGGUAUAGCUCAGAGGUAGAGCACGUGAUCGGGUGUGCAACGUCCUGGGUUCAAUCCCCAGUGCUUCUC
rnacentral:tRNA from 1 species